UGUAUUAGAAAUAUUGGGCUUCAAGCCCAAAUCCAGAACAAGCACACGCGGGUCCAAGUGCUAAACAUCCAAAAUCGCUUAUGCUGAAAGCCAACAACACGAAUGAAAACAUUGAAACUGCUUAUCCAAAAGAAAACUCAAAAUCGCGUUUUCAUCGGCAUCAUCAGCGCUCGAGUUCUUCUCCGUCCUUUGAUUUGCCGAAGAGUUUUGAAACCUCGCGUAUUUGGUUCUCAACAUCGCAUUUCGGCAUCGCGUUUGGAUGUUCAAGUCUUGAAAGCGUGGAUGUAGUCUUGAAAGCGUCGUGUUUCGAUUAGGAUUCAGUCUCGAUUCUUCAUCUCCUUCGCAUCCCUAAGUGUAAUCGCUUCAAAACGCCGGCAUCAUGAGCUUCAAUUGAAACUUUGGAAGCAAAGUAUGCCUGCCUUCGUCUUCAGCUGCAUCCGUCCACGAAGAGGCGGUCGACGCUGCCAAGUAUUCAUCCGUAAUUCAAGGCUGGUGAAUCAGUAACUGGAAGCGUACUUGAUCCACUAUUUCUUAAUUGCGUUCAACCUCGAAGGAUUCGAUUGAAAUAUGAACGGAGUUGCGACAAGAAUAAGAAUAAACUAUGGAUUAUGGCAAGGACAACCUACCGGAUUGAAGCGACGCGGAGGUUCCGACGAGUUGGAAGUUUGUUGGCUCUCGCUCGUUGCUGCGCUAUCCGCGUUGCGUUUUGGUUUCCGCUGGCAGAGUUGAGAUGCAGGUGGCGCGGUGGUUUGAGCUCCACCAAUCGAAGCUUCAACGUGAAGCUUCAAUGGUGUUUCACUAUCAGAUCUUUGGUGAGGUAAAUGAAGCAGACGAUUGAAAAAGUGAAACAGAAGGUUGAAGAAUGGAGCAGAAAAAUUGCAGAAAUGAAAAACUCCUUCAGAAUGAGGCUUGGAGGGCUUAUAUAGAGCGUUUAGCCUAACCUAACCGAUUCGGGCAGGUUGUUGAUCAAGGAGUGGGUUGUCUUCAAUGUCGGUAUGUGGAGGCUGUUUCAGUUUUUGUAUGCGAUGGCCUUGAGUUUAUAGUUAAGUUUUUCAUAAGGUGGUUAUGUUCUGUUGGAGAUCGAAGCAAGGUUGAAGAGUUAGAAGAGGGCAUUGUGAAGUUCUGUUGAGGGUUGGCUCUUUAUGCAGGAUUAGAAAUUGUCAUCAGCUGUUAACAGUUGGAUUUCUGUUAGGAUUUCUGUUAAUUGUUAGGACUUACCUUGAAAUUAGAGGGUUAUGUUAAACAUCACCGUGGAGCUGUUAGAUUAGUUCAGAAAUAUGUAACAAAGUUAAUAUGAACAAAGUUAGGUUGAUUCCAAUAGGCUGUUGUUCCGCAAUUGGUUUGUCAAUUCUCUUUUGGUGAAGUUAAAUGAAAAUUAUGCUUUUUUAGAGGCUGAA